rnacentral:rRNA from 1 species
UACAGAGGUCCCGAGCGUUGUUCGGAUUCAUUGGGCGUAAAGGGUGCGUAGGCGGUCUGCUAAGUUUGAUGUGAAAUCCCGGGGCUCAACCCUGGAAUGGCAUUGAAUACUGGUGGACUAGAGUACCGGAGAGGAAACUGGAAUUUACGGUGUAGCGGUGAAAUGCGUAGAUAUGUGGAGGAACACCAAUGGCGAAGGCAGCCCCCUGGGUCAACACUGACGCUCAUGCACGAAAGCGUGGGGAGCAAACAGG